GGUUAAGCGACUAAGCGUACACGGUGGAUGCCCUGGCAGUCAGAGGCGAUGAAGGACGUGCUAAUCUGCGAUAAGCGUCGGUAAGGUGAUAUGAACCGUUAUAACCGGCGAUUUCCGAAUGGGGAAACCCAGUGUGAUUCGUCACACUAUCAUUAACUGAAUCCAUAGGUUAAUGAGGCGAACCGGGGGAACUGAAACAUCUAAGUACCCCGAGGAAAAGAAAUCAACCGAGAUUCCCCCAGUAGCGGCGAGCGAACGGGGAGCAGCCCAGAGCCUGAAUCAGUGUGUGUGUUAGUGGAAGCGUCUGGAAAGGCGUGCGAUACAGGGUGACAGCCCCGUACACAAAAAUGCACAUACUGUGAGCUCGAUGAGU
rnacentral:rRNA from 1 species